rnacentral:rRNA from 1 species
UACGGAAGGUCCAGGCGUUAUCCGGAUUUAUUGGGUUUAAAGGGAGCGUAGGCUGGAGAUUAAGUGUGUUGUGAAAUGUAGACGCUCAACGUCUGAAUUGCAGCGCAUACUGGUUUCCUUGAGUACGCACAACGUUGGCGGAAUUCGUCGUGUAGCGGUGAAAUGCUUAGAUAUGACGAAGAACUCCGAUUGCGAAGGCAGCUGACGGGAGCGCAACUGACGCUUAAGCUCGAAGGUGCGGGUAUCGAACAGG